AGGAAAAUAAUAUCACGCAGGUCUACAUGUACAGUAUGAAGUACAACUUGUUUUUCGAAACGUCAGUAUAAAUGUCAAUAUUAACCUUAUGCGAUAAAACUGCAGUUACAGAUAUGUAAUAAAUAUUAAAAUAACGACCCUUCAAGUUCGACGUCAGCAUUACAAUAAAACGCAAAUUUCAUGUUACGUACACCCAAUGUAAACUCCAUUACAAUAAUUCCCCCUGUCGCUGGGGAAAUAUAAUCCUACAUUUUAUACGUACUACAAAAAUCCAACUUUAUGCUUCUGAAACACAUUAAUGUUACACACCAUGUAUUGGUACAAGUAAAGAGCAACACGCGUUUACCUCGCUUAUCCAUAGUAAGGGCGUCGGGCACCGGCAUUGGACAGUCGAAGAGAUUUCCGAUUACAGAGCUUCCGCCUAUUCUUGUAAAGAAAUAUGGCGAGAAUUGGAAUGACUUUCGACUAUAUAUGCCAAGUAGCAGUAAUAAUGCAUUGUUAGUGGUCCACGCAGCAUUAGCAGCAGGAUUGCUCCCACAGCUGGCUGGUUGAGGUGAUGUGCAGGAGCAGACCUGACCUUUCUAUGCUCUGAGGAGGAUACCAUACUACCCACCAACUCUCCUACCUGCUGUUUUUAAAUGCAAAUUUUAUACAUUUUGUAUUGCUCUAAUAAAACUUGUGCUUGUAA